UACGAAGGGGGCUAGCGUUGCUCGGAAUCACUGGGCGUAAAGGGUGCGUAGGCGGGUCUUUAAGUCAGAGGUGAAAUCCUGGAGCUCAACUCCAGAACUGCCUUUGAUAUUGAGGAUCUUGAGUUCGGGAGAGGUGAGUGGAACUGCGAGUGUAGAGGUGAAAUUCGUAGAUAUUCGCAAGAACACCAGUGGCGAAGGCGGCUCACUGGCCCGAUACUGACGCUGAGGCACGAAAGCGUGGGGAGCAAACAGG
rnacentral:rRNA from 1 species